rnacentral:rRNA from 1 species
UACGAGAGGCCCAAACGUUAUUCGGAACUACUGGGCUUACAGAGUUCGUAGGCGGCUCAGAAAGUUGGGUGUGAAAUCCCUCGGCCCAACCGAGGAAUUGCGCUCAAAACUACUGAGCUUGAGGGGUAUAGAGGUAAGCGGAACUGAUGGUGGAGCGGUGAAAUGCGUUGAUAUCAUCAGGAACACCGGUGGCGAAGGCGGCUUACUGGGUACCUCCUGACGCUGAGGAACGAAAGCUAGGGGAGCGAACGGG